rnacentral:rRNA from 1 species
UACGAAGGAUGCAAGCGUUAUCCGGAUUUAUUGGGUUUAAAGGGUGCGUAGGCGGACUUAUAAGUCAGUGGUGAAAUCUCGAUGCUUAACAUCGAACGUGCCAUUGAUACUGUAGGUCUUUGAGUACAGAUGCCGGUUGGCGGAAUGUGUCAUGUAGCGGUGAAAUGCAUAGAUAUGACACAGAACACCGAUUGCGAAGGCAGCUGACGAAACUGUAAACUGACGCUGAGGCACGAAAGCGUGGGGAUCAAACAGGG